AUCAAGUUCUCUCCCAAUGCCAAAUCUCACGCACACUGGUUGGUCCAUGGGCCAGGCCUACGUAGUCCACCUCCUGUCCCACAGGAACAAUAACCUUACUUGAU